rnacentral:rRNA from 1 species
UACGGAGGGUGCAAGCGUUAUCCGGAUUCACUGGGUUUAAAGCGUGCGUAGGUGGUGCGUUAAGUCUGUCGUGAAAGCCCCGGGCUCAACCUGGGAAUGGCGAUGGAUACUGGCGCGCUAGAGUGCGGUAGAGGAGAGUGGAAUUCCCGGUGUAGCAGUGAAAUGCGUAGAGAUCGGGAGGAACAUCAGUUGCGAAGGCGGCUCUCUGGACCAGCACUGACACUGAGGCGCGAAAGCGUGGGGAGCAAACAGG